rnacentral:rRNA from 1 species
AAAACGACUCUCGGCAACGGAUAUCUCGGCUCUCGCAUCGAUGAAGAACGUAGCAAACUGCGAUACUUGGUGUGAAUUGCAGAAUCCCGUGAACCAUSGAGUCUUUGAACGCAAGUUGCGCCCGAAGCCAUUAGGCCGAGGGCACGUCUGCCUGGGCGUCACGC